ACGCUCGACACCUACGGAGGCAGCAGUGGGGAAUAUUGCACAAUGGGGGAAACCCUGAUGCAGCGACGUCGCGUGAGCGAAGAAGUAUUUCGGUAUGUAAAGCUCUAUCAGCAGGGAAGAAACUGACGGUACCUGACUAAGAAGCACCGGCUAAAUACGUGCCAACAGCCGCGGUAAUCUGAGCGGGCUGGCAAGGC
rnacentral:rRNA from 1 species